rnacentral:rRNA from 1 species
UACGUAGGUGGCAAGCGUUGUCCGGAGUUAUUGGGCGUAAAGCGCGCGCAGGCGGUGCGGUAAGUCUCUGGUGAAAGCGCUCGGCUUAACUGGGCGAGGGCCGGGGAGACUGCCACGCUGGAGGGGAGCAGAGGCGAGUGGAAUUCCGGGUGUAGUGGUGAAAUGCGUAGAGAUCCGGAGGAACACCAGUGGCGAAGGGCGGCUCGCUGGGCUCUACCUGACGCUGAGGCGCGAAAGCGUGGGGAUCAAACAGGG